rnacentral:rRNA from 1 species
UCCUGGGCGUAAGUGUCGCGUAGGCGGCUUUUCGCAUCUUGCUUAAAAUGGCCUCGCUUAACGAGGUCUCGGGUAAGAGAUGGGAAAGCUAGAGUAUUGGUGGGGUUUCUGGAACUUCAGGUGUAGCAGUGAAAUGCGUUGAUAUCUGAAGGAACACCGAGAGCGAAGGCAGGAAACCAAUCAAUUACUGACGCUGAGGCACGACAGCUAGGGGAGCGAAGCAGAUUAGAGACCUGCGUAGUCCUAGCCGUAAACGCAUGGAUGCUAGUUGCUCGAUCCGCUGAGAUUCUAAUCAAUUUUAGAGUCUGAGCGGAUUGAGUGACGCAAGCUAACGCGUUAAGCAUCCCGCCUGGGGAGUACGAUCGCAAGAUUAAAACUCAAAGGAAUUGGCGGGGACCCGCACAACCGGUGGAGCAUGUGGUUUAAUUCGAGACGAAGCGAAAAACCUCACCACGAUUCGACAUCUUACCGUUUUAGUUCCUCAGAAAUGAGGAAUGAUCCGCAAGGAUGGUAAGAAAGCUGCUGCAUGGCUGUCGUCAGCUCGUACCGUGAGGUGUUCCCUUAAGUGGGGUAACGAGCGCAACCCUUGUCGUUUGUUACAUAUUCAAACGAGACCGCCUAGGCAUUUGCUU